GUAACGCGUGGGUAACCUGCCUCACACAGGGGAUAACAGUUGGAAACGGCUGCUAAUACCGCAUAAGCGCACAGUACCGCAUGGUACAGUGUGAAAAACUCCGGUGGUGUGAGAUGGAUCCGCGUCUGAUUAGCUAGUUGGCAGGGCAACGGCCUACCAAGGCGACGAUCAGUAGCCGACCUGAGAGGGUGACCGGCCACAUUGGGACUGAGACACGGCCCAA
rnacentral:rRNA from 1 species